GAUUUCUCAUGGAUCUAUCCCAGUUUUAGGGUUAACCAAAAGAAAAAUAGGUUAAUUACAUGAGUUUCAAACUGAAAUUUGGAUGAAUAAUCCGUUGAUUUAGUUUUAUCAUUUUUCCCACCUUCAGAAGAAUAAAGCAUAGGCAUUUCUACUAGUGUUAGAAUUUUAUGAAAGUUAACUAUCUCGGUUUCAUAGAUAAAUUUAUAUAGAAUCUUUGAAAAAGACUUUCUUUCAUAA
rnacentral:lncRNA from 1 species